CUUAGAACUGCUUGUUCCCAGUUGUUCUAACAGGUUUGAAAAUGUUCCAUACAUUUUCAAACCUGUUAGAACAACUGGGAACAAGCAGUGCGAACACAACUUGUU
rnacentral:miRNA from 1 species